rnacentral:rRNA from 1 species
UACGUAGGGGGCGAGCGUUGUCCGGAUUUAUUGGGCGUAAAGCGCGCGUAGGCGGCUACUUAAGUUGGAUGUGAAAGCCCUCGGCUUAACUGAGGAAGUGCAUCCAAAACUGAAUAGCUAGAGUACGAAAGAGGGUCGCGGAAUUCCCGGUGUAGAGGUGAAAUUCGUAGAUAUCGGGAGGAACACCGGUGGCGAAGGCGGCGACCUGGGUCGAGACUGACGCUGAGGCGCGAAAGCGUGGGGAGCAAACAGG